GUGUCAGCCGCCGCGGUAAUACGGAGGGUGCAAGCGUUAAUCGGAAUUACUGGGCGUAAAGCGAGUGUAGGCGGCCGUGUAAGUCGGAUGUGAAAGCCCUGGGCUUAACCUGGGAAUGGCAUCCGAUACUGCACGGCUCGAGUCUGACAGAGGGAUGUGGAAUUCCGGGUGUAGCGGUGAAAUGCGUAGAUAUCCGGAGGAACACCAGUGGCGAAGGCGGCAUCCUGGGUCAAGACUGACGCUGAGGCUCGAAAGCGUGGGGAGCAAACAGGAUUAGAUACCCUCGUAGUCC
rnacentral:rRNA from 1 species